rnacentral:rRNA from 1 species
AGCAGCAGUAAGGAAUAUGAGCUUGAGAGCGCAAGUCUGAACCAGCCAUGCCGCGUGGAGGAUGAAGGUCCUCUGGAUUGUAAACUUCUUUUAUCUGGGAAGAAAUCCAAGAUUUCUAUUUUGGUUGACGGUACCAGAUGAAUAAGCACCGGCUAACUCCGUGCCAGCAGCCGCGGUAAUACGGAGGGUGCAAGCGUUAUCCGGAUUCACUGGGUUUAAAGGGUGCG